GACGAACCGUCCAAACGUUAUUCGGAAUUACUGGGCUUAAAGGGUGCGUAGGCGGCGCGGAAAGUUGGGUGUGAAAUCCCUCGGCUCAACCGAGGAACUGCGCCCAAUACUACCGUGCUUGAGGGAGAUAGAGGUGAGCGGAACUUAGGGUGGAGCGGUGAAAUGCGUUGGUAUCCUAAGGAACACCGGUGGCGAAAGCGGCUCACUGGAUCUCUUCUGACGCUGAGGCACGAAAGCUAGGGUAGCGAACGGG
rnacentral:rRNA from 1 species